rnacentral:rRNA from 1 species
UGAGGGAAAGGCGAAAAGAACCCCGGCGAGGGGAGUGAAAAAGAACCUGAAACCGUGUACGUACAAGCAGUGGGAGCACAGGUUUACCUGUGUGACUGCGUACCUUUUGUAUAAUGGGUCAGCGACUUAUAUUCUGUAGCAAGGUUAACCGUAUAGGGGAGCCGGAGGGAAACCGAGUCUUAAUUGGGCGUUAAGUUGCAGGGUAUAGACCCGAAACCCGGUGAUCUAGCCAUGGGCAGGUUGAAGGUUGGGUAACACUAACUGGAGGACCGAACCGACUAAUGUUGAAAAAUUAGCGGAUGACCUGUGGCUGGGGGUGAAAGGCCAAUCAAACCGGGAGAUAGCUGGUUCUCCCCGAAAGCUAUUUAGGUAGCGCCUCGUGAAUUCAUCUCCGGGGGUAGAGCACUGUUUCGGCUAGGGGGCCAUCCCGGCUUACCAACCCGAUGCAAACUGCGAAUACCGGAGAAUGUUAUCACGGGAGACACACGGCGGGUGCUAACGUCCGUCGUGAAGAGGGAAACAACCCAGACCGCCAGCUAAGGUCCCAAAGUCAUGGUUAAGUGGGAAACGAUGUGGGAAGGCCCAGACAGCCAGGAUGUUGGCUUAGAAGCAGCCAUCAUUUAAAGAAAGCGUAAUAGCUCACUGGUCGAGUCGGCCUGCGCGGAAGAUGUAACGGGGCUAAACCAUGCACCGAAGCUGCGGCAGCGA